ACAGUAGUCACGUCUUGCGAGCUAGGAGUUGGCUCCUGAUGACUCAGAGGAAUAGCUGAUACAAUUGCUUGCUGACCAGAUCGUUGAGUCUGAUGAUGUGAUGGUCUUGCAGGAGGGCUUCCCCUUUCUUGAAUUGCAUGACCUCCUCUGCCUCUGCCUUGGCUUCCUUGAUCUCCUUUCCCUUUCUUAUUCUCCCCCUUUAUGUCAGCAUCAAGGGUUCGAAUAUCGGCAGACAGCCUAUUUACUCCUUG
rnacentral:lncRNA from 1 species